rnacentral:rRNA from 1 species
UUAAGCUACAAAGAGCGUAGGGAGAAUGCCUAGGUACCAAGAGCCGAUGAAGGACGUGAUAAGCUGCGAAAAGCUACGGGGAGGAGCAAAUAUCCAUCAAUCCGUAGAUGUCCGAAUGAGGGAACUCAUAUGGCAAAAAGAAGCCAUAUAUCUAUGUACAAGUAAAGUAGUACAUAAGAAGGGAACGUGGGGAACUGAAACAUCUAAGUACCCAUAGGAAGAGAAAAUAAACAAUGAUUUCUGUAGUAGUGGCGAGCGAACCAGAAAGAGCCCAAACCAUAAGUAGAAAUACAUAUGGGGUACGGACUACCAUAAACUACUAACAAGUCUAAUAGAAUCAUCUGGGAAGGUGAACCAAAGACGGUGAAAGUCCAGUAUAUGAAAGAUAAGUUAGGGUAGGUAGAAUCCAGAGUAGUGCGAGACACAGGGAAUCUCGUAUGAAAGAGCGGGGACCAUCCCGUAAGGCUAAAUACUACUUGGUAACCGAUAGUGAACGAGUACCGUGAGGGAAAGGUGAAAAGGACCCCGGGAGGGGAGUGAAAGAGAACCUGAAACCUUGUGCCUACAAGCACCGAGAGCGUGUUAAUGCGUGAUCGGGUACUUUUUGUAGAACGGUCCGGCGAGUUAAUGUAUGCAGCAAGGUUAAGAAACUGGAGUUUUGGAGCCGAAGCGAGAGCGAGUCUGAAUAGGGCGAGAAGUUGCAUGUAUUAGACCCGAAACCGGGUGACCUAUCCAUGAGCAGGCUGAAGUUGCGGUAAGACGCAAUGGAGGGCCGCACCCACGUUCGUUGAAAAGACCGGGGAUGACUUGUGGAUAGCGGAGAAAUUCCAAUCGAACUCGGAUAUAGCUGGUUCUCCCCGAAAUAGCUUUAGGGCUAGCGUUAUGAUAGAUUACCGGAGGUAGAGCACUGAAUGGGCUAGGGGCCGCGAGGUUACUGAACCCUAUCAAACUUCAAAUGCCGGAUAAUUGUUUCAUGGCAGUCAGACUGUGUGAGAUAAGUCGCAUAGUCAAAAGGGAAACAGCCCAGAUCUACAGCUAAGGUCCCAAAUGAAUACUAAGUGGAAAAUGAUGUGAAAUUGCUAAGACAACCAGGAUGUUGGCUUAGAAGCAGCCACUCAUUCAAAGAGUGCGUAAUAGCUCACUGGUCGAGUGAAUGUGCGCCGAAAAUAUACCGGGGCUAAACGUGAUACCGAAGUCUGGGGAUCAAGAAAUAGAUCGGUAGGGGAGCAACGCAUACGGACAGAAGCAGAAGCGGGAGCGACUGUGGACUGUAUGGGAGAGAGAAUGCCGGCAUGAGUAGCGAGAGCAAAGUGAGAAUCUUUGCCGUCGAAAGCCUAAGGUUUCCUGAGGAAGGCUCGUCCUCUCAGGGUAAGUCGGGACCUAAGCCGAGGACAAUAGUCGUAGGCGAUGGACAAUCGGUUAAUAUUCCGAUACCGCCGAGCAACCGGAUGCAGUGACACAGAAGGAUAGGCAGAGCGUGGCGAUGGUAGACCACGUCCAAGCAGUGAGGCUGUUGUGUAGUGAAGUACGCACAACGGAAGGCUGGGCUGUGAUGGGGAACGAUUACGAUCGGUAAGCUGCUGAAUUCACGCUGGCGAGAAAAGCUGCUACGAAGCGAAGGCGCCCGUACCGCAAACCGACACAGGUAGGCGAGGAGAGAAUCCUAAGACGAGCGGGAGAACCCUUGUUAAGGAACUCGGCAAAAUGACUCCGUAACUUAGGGAGAAGGAGUGCCCAGGAAUGGGCCGCAGAGAAUAGACCCAAGCGACUGUUUACCAAAAACACAGGUCUGUGCGAAGUAGAGAUACGACGUAUACGGGCUGACGCCUGCCCAGUGCCGGAAGGUUAAGGGGAAGUGUUAGGGCAACCGAAGCACGGAACUUAAGCCCCGGUGAACGGCGGCCGUAACUAUAACGGUCCUAAGGUAGCGAAAUUCCUUGUCAGGU